GUCCCGGUAGCGCAAUGAAUAGCGCGUUGGACUUCGAAUCCGAAGGUCGUGGGUUCGAAUCCCACCCUGGAUU